rnacentral:rRNA from 1 species
UACGGAGGGUGCAAGCGUUAUCCGGAUUCACUGGGUUUAAAGGGUGCGUAGGCGGGCAGGUAAGUCAGUGGUGAAAUCUUCAAGCUUAACUUGGAAACUGCCAUUGAUACUAUUUGUCUUGAAUAUCCUGGAGGUAAGCGGAAUAUGUCAUGUAGCGGUGAAAUGCUUAGAUAUGACAUAGAACACCCAUUGCGAAGGCAGCUUACUACGGGAUUAUUGACACUGAGGCACGAAAGCGUGGGGAUCAAGCAGG